rnacentral:rRNA from 1 species
GAUGAACGCUGGCGGCGUGCCUAAUACAUGCAAGUCGAGCGAACAGACGAGGAGCUUGCUCCUCUGACGUUAGCGGCGGACGGGUGAGUAACACGUGGAUAACCUACCUAUAAGACUGGGAUAACUUCGGGAAACCGGAGCUAAUACCGGAUAAUAUAUUGAACCGGAUGGUUCAAUAGUGAAAGACGGUUUUGCUGUCACUUAUAGAUGGAUCCGCGCCGCAUUAUCUAGUUGGUAAGGUAACGGCUUACCAAGGCAACGAUGCGUAGCCGACCUGAGAGGGUGAUCGGCCACACUGGAACUGAGACACGGUCCAGACUCCUACGGGAGGCAGCAGUAGGGAAUCUUCCGCAAUGGGCGAAAGCCUGACGGAGCAACGCCGCGUGAGUGAUGAAGGUCUUCGGAUCGUAAAACUCUGUUAUUAGGGAAGAACAAAUGUGUAAGUAACUAUGCACGUCUUGACGGUACCUAAUCAGAAAGCCACGGCUAACUACGUG